CCUACGGGUGGCAGCAGUGAGGAAUAUUGGUCAAUGGACGAGAGUCUGAACCAGCCAAGUAGCGUGAAGGAUGAAGGCCCUAUGGGUGGUAAACUUCAUUUAUAAAGGAAUAAAACGAGGCAGGUGGGCCUUUUUGCAUGUACGUUAUGAAUAAGGAUGGGAUAACUCCGUGCCAGCAGCCGCGGUAAUACGGAGGAUCCGAGCGUUAUCCGGAUUGAGUGGUUUUAACGGGAGCGUAGAUGGGUUGUUAAGUCAGUUGUGAAAGUUUGCGGCUCAACCGUAAAAUUGAAUUUGAUACGGGCAGUCUUGAGUACAGUUGAGGUAGGCUGAAUUCGUGGUGUAGCGG
rnacentral:rRNA from 1 species